rnacentral:antisense_RNA from 1 species
UUUUAUGGCGGGCCGGGCGGAGCAGCCUACGGGCUGGCUGGCUUCCUUGGGUGUCAGUUUUCCACCUCCGUGAAUCGCCCCGACU